GAUGAACGCUGGCGGCGUGCCUAAUACAUGCAAGUCGAGCGAACAGACGAGGAGCUUGCUCCUCUGACGUUAGCGGCGGACGGGUGAGUAACACGUGGAUAACCUACCUAUAAGACUGGGAUAACUUCGGGAAACCGGAGCUAAUACCGGAUAAUAUAUUGAACCGCAUGGUUCAAUAGUGAAAGACGGUUUUGCUGUCACUUAUAGAUGGAUCCGCGCCGCAUUAGCUAGUUGGUAAGGUAACGGCUUACCAAGGCAACGAUGCGUAGCCGACCUGAGAGGGUGAUCGGCCACACUGGAACUGAGACACGGUCCAGACUCCUACGGGAGGCAGCAGUAGGGAAUCUUCCGCAAUAGGCGAAAGCUUGACGGAGCAACGCCGCGUGAGUGAUGAAGGUCUUCGGAUCGUAAAACUCUGUUAUUAGGGAAGAACAAAUGUGUAAGUAACUAUGCACGUCUUGACGGUACCUUAUCAGAAAGCCACGGCUAACUACGUG
rnacentral:rRNA from 1 species